rnacentral:ribozyme from 1 species
AGGUACAAAAUGGGUAGAUGGGGAAGAUGGGGAAGAUGAAUCGUUGGUUCCCGUUUCUUUUUCUCCUUUCUCUUUUUCUCCUUUCUCUCUCCCCUC